rnacentral:lncRNA from 1 species
AAAAUCCCAUUACAAUACUUAAUCUUUAUUUCCAGUCGGGGAAGGUCCUGCCUGGGAUGGAAAUGGCUGAAAAAGAGGAAACUUAAAAAUGCCAGAACCAGAUGCUGCCACAUGAAUCAAAGCAGGGAAAGCCUUGGGAUGUCCAAGCAGUUGAGCAGCUUCGAUAUCCAUAUGACACAGCAUCUAAUUCCAUCUCCUGAUCUGAUCUUGGCAAAAGGAAGAAUCACCUGCCCUCAGUGUAAAUAUUUAGUACACAAAAUAUUGUCAAGAAACCCACUUUUAAUAAAUAUCUGCAGCUCUCACUCCUAUACACAAGUACUUUACAGCGCCGUGCCGGAAGGAGCGCGGCCAGCUGGGCUGGGCCAAGGUGGGGAUGGACAUAAAUUAGUUAUUGCAGUCAGAUGCACGGUGGGCAGGGAGGUUUGGAGUUGAUCCACGCCAGAAAUAUAUCUCGCACCUUGAAAUCCACCUUGAAACUGCUUUAAACACCAGCCCUUGGAAUGCUCACAGGGCAGAACUUAUGGCCGGCACCUGGCACUGGAGCAAUACAGGUAAACAGUUGUGGGACAGUACAAAACUCCGACAAUAAUGCUGAUUUCCUGCAUUUACCCAACAGCUGCAAUGGUGCUCGUCUGUUUCCAGGGAGACACGAGUCCUGAGGGUUCAUUCGGUCUGUGGCAAGUGUUUCAUUUGAGUGUCCAUGCCUGGUCCUGCCUGCAGUGGGGCAUUUCCUACAGUGGGGGUGUUCAGAGCCCAGAGCCACAGGGCUGCUGAGGUUCGGGCUAACUUUUGGGCCCAGAGCUGGACGGAGCCCUCAGCAACUCCCACUCACUGCCAGGAGGGUUCCUUUAGUGUUUCCUCUGCGUGUCCCAGCUGGCCAGGGAAUGAGGGGUGGGAGGGGUCCAGGAGCACCAGAAAGUGAACCAGCACUUCUUGUCCUUUGUAUUUACAGGGGACAACCUGUGCCCUGCAGUGCCCUGCCCGGGGCACGCAGCACGCUCCGCAGUGUCCAGAGGUGAGGGAGUCACACACAGAGUGCCAAACAGCCCCUUUCUUUCCAUGGCUGUCCUGCACAAGCCUUCCUGCUCAUCGUUCCACAGGGGCAGCCCUCGGAGCCCAUCGCUUCCCUGUGUGCCCCUCACCCUUCCUGGAGGUCCUGGCUGGCGCAGGAGCCCCCGCUGCCGUCUUCUCUGCUGGCACCAGAGGCAGAGCUGUGGCCAGUGCCGGGGCACUACCAGGGCUGAGGCUGCUGCUGUUGGCAGGGGACUGGUGCAGGAAAGCCAAGAGCCGUGAAGUCUUCCCGGCCACGGGAGCUCUCCAGUGCGGAAUGCUGGCACCUUUGGGCUGGGGGCUGGCUGGCGGGAUGCGCCGCUCAGCCUGCUGUGCUUCCCAAGGCGGCCGGCUUGGAGAGCUGCUCCUGGGCAGGAGCUGA